CAGUUCAGGGCAGUUUUUGCAAGCUGGGAGAGGGUUGUAGGGUAUGGAGUCACAAGGUUGACCAAGGUUGGUUACAAAGUCCAGUUGCUUUAUCAGUUGAGGUGGGAAUAAAGAACAAUAGAAGAAUGUCACAGAGUUAAGUAGGCACUGCAGGGGUUGGUCAUUUCUUCUCCUUUUGUGGUUUUCCAGUUACUUCAGACUUUCUAGUUGCAGGAACUCAUCUGGAGUGUCACAGAGGUUGCCAUGGUACAAUCAGUCUAAAAGACCUACUUUCCUGUCUUUUUAUAUUAAUAAUAUAUAAGAAAAAGAAAUGAAGAGUGGAGGGUGGUAGAAUAUUAGGGAGCCUGGCACAGAAGGGUGAUGGGGUGAUGUUUCUUAGGCCUUCUUCGAGUGGAAUUGGGGGUGGCGUGGAAACCUGAAAAUGGGAAAGAAUUUAGACUGCUGGGAGAUCUGGGGGCAAAGAAUGAUAUUGUGGGGGUGUUAGAAGGAGCAUUUGUCGUAUUGACUGAUUGGUUAUCGCUUGUAUACAAUUUUGUAAGAAUUGAGAGAUUAAUCGGAAAACACAGGGUCCAAAUAAGAGAGUAGAAAGAUAGGUAUUGGUAAAAUGGGUGCUCCAAAUGAAGAGACACCUCCCCAAACAGGCAUUGUGUGAACAACAUGGCCGUUUAUUCGCCCAGGUGCAGGUGGGCUGAGUCUGAAACAGAGUCACUUAAGGGCAGUGGGGUGGGAGUUGGUUUUAUAGAUUUGGGGUGGACAGUGAAAAGUUACAGAAGUUACAGUUUAGGGUGGUUUUAUGCAAGCUGGGAGGGGGUCAUGUGGUCUGAAGUCACGAGGUUGACCAAAGUCAGUUACAAAGUCCAGUGGCCUCUCAUUUGGGGUGGGAAUAAGCAACAAUAGAGAAUGUCUCAAAGUUAAGUAGGUGCCACAGGGGUUGAUCGUUUCUUCCUCUUUUCGUGAUCUUCCAGCUACUUCAGAUUUUCCAGGAACUCAUCUGGAGUGU